rnacentral:rRNA from 1 species
UACGAAGGGUGCUAGCGUUGUUCGGAAUCAUUGGGCGUAAAGCGUACGUAGGCGGCUUUGUAAGUCGAUUGUGAAAGGCCCAAGCUUAACUUGGGAACUGCAACCGAAACUGCUUGGCUUGAGUUUGGUGGGGGAUGGCGGAAUUCCUAGUGUAGGGGUGAAAUCCGUAGAUAUUAGGAGGAAUAUCGGUGGCGAAGGCGGCCAUCUAUGCCAAUACUGACGCUAAGGUACGAAAGCGUGGGGAGCAAACAGG